rnacentral:tRNA from 1 species
GUGAGUAUAGCUCAGUGGUAGAGUGCAUGCUUAGCAUGCAUGAGGUCCUGGGUUCAAUCCCCAGUAUGUCCA